rnacentral:rRNA from 1 species
UAGGGAAUCUUCGGCAAUGGGGGCAACCCUGACCGAGCAACGCCGCGUGAGUGAAGAAGGUUUUCAGAUCGUAAAGCUCUGUUGUAAGAGAAGAACGUGUGUGAGAGUGGAAAGUUCACACAGUGACGGUAACUUACCAGAAAGGGACGGCUAACUACGUGCCAG